AUCCAGGACCGGGAUAAGAACCAGGAUCAGAACCAGGACCAGAUCCAGGAUCGGGAUCAGAUCCAGGACCAGUACCAGAACCAGGACCAGGAGUCCAGCAGCAGGACCAAAGUGGACUCUUCCUCCGCUGGUCUGCAGAAACAGUUAACACAGAAAGCAAAGUCACGCCAAAAUCUACAGUCCAUCAAAACCUGACCAUACAAUAAUCCUGAAACUCAGAUCAGGACAGCAGCACAGCAUCCGCGGCGAUGAGCAUCAAGCUGAUCUGAAGAUCCAAAGGGUCACGGCACCAGUGGAACAGGUUUGGAUCCGUUGCGACAAAUGACGAGUCAUAGGUUGGUUUUCUACAUUUAUUUCUGCAGAAGACAAAAAAAAACACAUUAAUAAGUCUUCUGGACCCUCUUUUUACUCCUUCUGCUCCCCUCAUCAGAGCAACGCAGCACUGUGUAAUUUAAUUGAUUUUCCUCUACAAUGCAGAGAAAUACACUCCUACAUUUUCUCAAACAAAAGCUACCAAAACAGACAGGAAAAUAGUAUUUUUAACUAAUAAAUCGCUAAAUCAUAACAGCCAAUAUUGGAACAGUGACACCCAACGAUCAAAACAAAACACUGUAUAUAUGGUGUAAACACAAUGAAAACAAUUAAUUUGACAAAGGAAACAUACCUGCAGAAGACACAAAAACAGCCACGUAAUGUCAGUGGCAUUUAAAGUAUACAACAUGCGCCAAAAACGCCAACAUAAAUGGAUAAUUUCUGAAUAUACAAAUAUCAUAAAUAUGUCAGCUCCUCACAGUGCUGCGUUGCUCUGAUGAGUGUAAGUUGGGAACUGCUGCUGCGUUUCUUAACAGAUUUUCUUUAAGAAAUUAUCCAUUUAUGUUGGCAUUUUUGGCGCAUGUUGUAUACUUUAAAUGCCACUGACAUUACGUGGCUGUUUUGUGUUGUUUUGGUGAUUAAUAUGCUUCUUGUGGAUGUUUUUGUUUUUGCGCCUUUUUGUAUGGCGGUGGGCGGUGACUGGUUUAAACCAGCAGGUGGUAGUGUGGACCAGACGGCGCUGCAGAGACUCUGAGUGCUCACUUUCCCCUUUUUGUUUUGUUUGUUCAGGGAGCAGGAGGAGUAAAAAGAGGGCCCAGAAGACUUAUUAAUGUGUUUUUUGUGUCUUCUGCAGGUAUGUUUCCUUUGUGAAAUUAUUUGUUUUCUAUGUGUUUAUCCCAUAUAUACAGUGUUUUGUUUUGAUCGUUGGGUGUCACUGUUCCCAUAUUGGCUUUUAUGAUUUAGCUAUUUAUUCGUUAAAAAUAUUAUUUUCCUGUCUGUUUUGGUAGCUUUUGUUUGAGAAAAUGUAGGAGUGUAUUUCUUUGCAUUGUAGAGGAAAAUCAAUUAAAUUACACAGUGCUGCGUUGCUCUGAUGAGGGUAGCAGAAGGAGUAAAAAAAGAGGGUCCAGAAGACUUAUUAAUGUGUUUUUGUGUCUUCUGCAGAAAUAAAUGUAUAAAACCAACCUAUGACUCGUCAUUUGUCACAACGGAUCCAAACCUGUUACAUAUGUCUGUCCAGAAACAAUGAGACAAAGGACAUUCAUAAAACAAAUGAUCCAGUGUUUCUUCAUCCUUUUUGCAGAAGGAACAUUGAUCUACCUCAAAUUUAAAGCUUUUUUAAGAAUUUCUGCCUCAGGAUAGACCUUAUUCAUAAUUCUAAAAUGUACUUCUUUAACUUUAGGCAAAAUAGGCCAUUUAAUAAAUUGGGAAUGCGCUUUGUUUAAUGUGUUUAUAUUUACCAUGCAAGAAUCCUGUUGAAUUAUCCUUCUGCAAAAAUCAUGGAACAAUCUGGAUUUAAAAACAUUACAAGAAAACUUGUUACCAAACUUUUUAUCAGUCAGAGUACAUCCUUCAAUUAAUAGAUUUGGUAAUACAUUUGAAGCUGUAUUAUACACCAAAAAGUUCUGAAUUAGGUGAAUUAAUGGUAGAGGAAUAACACUACAUAUUUUGUUGAAUUCUUUAUGAGAACAAUUUAAUUUUUUUUUUUUUUUUUGUCAAUCUGUCUAACUUAAAAGAAUCCCUUUACUAUCCAUUAAGUCAGUUACAUAUAUAAUGCCUUUAUCAAACCAAUUAAUUUUAAAUACUGAUUUUCUACUAAUUGUAAUUACUCUAUUGUUCCAUAAAGUUGACUUAUGAGGAGAGAAGUUGUGGACAAAUACCAUUUACCGAGUAUUUGUUUGUGAAAAUUAGACAACUUAAUGGGGAUCCUGUUCACAUCAAAAUCACAUUUCAAAAUGAAAUCUAGACAUCCUAUCUUUUUUUUUUUACCUUGUCUGCACACAUAUUAAUGGUUAAUACCAUGCUGGUAAAAACCUAAGGCAUAUGUGCAAUGUUACUAUAUUUUAUGUAUAUAUACAGGGUUUUUCCUGGCUCUAAUUGAAGCAGAAAUGGCACCAUCCUGAUCACACGUGUGCGGGUAAACUGUGCCUUCAACUGGCUCAAGCAAACACUUUUUACAAGAUAUUUUGUAUUUUGGGAGUUCGAAUAUGAUUAAAAAUAUAUUUCUUUAUUCUUUAUUUCAUUAAUUGAUAAAAUAAAACAAAUUAAUAUAAACACAAACGUUCCUAAAUUCUGAAUGAAAGGGAGCAGAAAGAAGAAGAAUCUUAUUUAAUCUGCCCCUUUUUCCCAAGAAAUCAAUUUACAAAGCAUGGAAAUUAUAUGAAAAUCAUGUAAAAAAUAUGACAAUUAUCAUGUUAACGCAUUAUUUUAUUAACAUAAAAAUAUAAAUACAAAUAUAAGAACUCAAUCUUACCAAAAAUAAAAAGUAAAAAAAAAAACUGCCAAUGGAACAGGAAAAAAAUGUCUUUGAAAUGAGUGAAAAUGGUUUUCUAGAACGAGAUACUUUUUAGAUGACUGUCUUAUUUUAAAUGUAAUGACUUUUUUUGGAUUAGAAAUAAAACAUUCUGACUGGAUAUAAGACAAGUAGUCUUGGUAUGAUUUUGACUUUAUGUAGGGUUUCAGACAUUUACUGACAAAUCUCGCAACCACACAGAGAGCAUUUCAGCCUCCUAUUGUUCCAUCUGUAGAACC